UAGUAAACUUCCAAGAAGUCUAAAAUACGC
rnacentral:piRNA from 1 species